CAUAGCGGAGGAAAAGAAACCAACAGGGAUUGCCCUAGUAACGGCGAGUGAAGCGGCAACAGCUCAAAUUUGAAAUCUGGCUCUUUUAGAGUCCGAGUUGUAAUUUGCAGAGGGCGCUUUGGCUUUGGCAGCGGUCCAAGUUCCUUGGAACAGGACGUCACAGAGGGUGAGAAUCCCGUACGUGGUCGCUGGCUAUUGCCGUGUAAAGCCCCUUCGACGAGUCGAGUUGUUUGGGAAUGCAGCUCUAAAUGGGAGGUACAUUUCUUCUAAAGCUAAAUAUUGGCCAGAGACCGAUAGCGCACAAGUAGAGUGAUCGAAAGAUGAAAAGCACUUUGGAAAGAGAGUCAAACAGCACGUGAAAUUGUUGAAAGGGAAGCGCUUGCAGCCAGACUUGCUUACAGUUGCUCAUCCGGGUUUCUACCCGGUGCACUCUUCUGUAGGCAGGCCAGCAUCAGUUUGGGCGGUAGGAUAAAGGUCUCUGUCACGUACCUCCUUUCGGGGAGGCCUUAUAGGGGAGACGACAUACUACCAGCCUGGACUGAGGUCCGCGCAUCUGCUAGGAUGCUGGCGUAAUGGCUGUAAGCGGCCCGUCUUGAAACACGGACCAAGGAGUCUAACAUCUAUGCGAGUGUUUGGGUGUCAAGCCCGAGCGCGUAAUGAAAGUGAACGGAGGUGGGAACCCGCAAGGGUGCACCAUCGACCGAUCCUGAUGUCUUCGGAAGGAUUUGAGUAAGAGCAUGGCUGUUGGGACCCGAAAGAUGGUGAACUAUGCUUGAAUAGGGUGAAGCCAGAGGAAACUCUGGUGGAGGCUCGCAGCGGUUCUGACGUGCAAAUCGAUCGUCAAAUUUGGGCAUAGGGGCGAAAGACUAAUCGAACUAUCUAGUAGCUGGUCUG
rnacentral:rRNA from 1 species